AAAUGUGGUGACAUUGUUGGAUUAAGAGUGAAGAAUGAUAGUUUAGCAUUUUGGGGAUAUUAUUCCAUUCAAAUUAGUUUUUUCAAAUUACAGGAGAUGGAGGAGGUAUAUUAUUAAUUGUUUUCUUGGUUUUAGAACUUUAUUUUUGUGUCCAGUUAGUGCAAUUUAUAUACAUUUGCCUUGCUAACUUCAGUAGCUAGCUAGUUACCAGCGCGAAUGUGUAGUUUUCUCUGCCAGAAUGGUAGAAUGGCCAAUGCUGCCGAAAAUGUUAUGGCCUUUUUGUUGAAGAACCCCUUUCAUUUUCAGGGGGACAUGGAAAAGUUGCAAAUUAAAUGCAGGGUUCGACCUCUGCCUGAGCUCAGCUUCAUGAAGGAUGAAAAGUUGAGGGCGUUCAAUACCAACUGGUAUCAAAAGUAUAUCUGGUUAACAGGGAACUUUCAUCGAAGCCGCAUUUAUUGCUGACCUUACCUGCUUUUUGGAAAGUCUGAGCCUUGAUCGAAAGGUGGGUACAGUGACCUGAAGAACAUUGAUCGUUCAGCUAAAUGGCAAAACAGAAGCAGGGAGCACAUAAAUGCCCACAUCAGAUUCAAGCUUCUGGGAAAAAGCUGCAUCGAUUAUGACAAAGGUCUGCGUAUUCAAACUGCGCAACACAACGAGAAAGUAAGAAAGAAACAGGGAUAUUAUCAAGCUGCUUAUCAACACAACUGCGUUUUUGGGCAUGUAAUCAUUUACUUUUAGAGGACACGACGAGAGGUAAAGUUCCACCAACAAGGGCAACUACUACAACGAGCUUGCAGAGCCAAGUCCCCUCCUGUUCCCUAGUUAAGAGGUGAUGACUACUCCACUCCACUACUAUUGUCAACUUUCUCCUGACAUUAACUGAAGCCCCUUCUCAUGUGCCCGCUCUUACACUGGCACGCACAUUGAAUACUUCCCCUCCAAGCACUUCAAAUCCUGUCCUGCACUGGUCAAGCCUCAUACCUCAACUCAACUCAUGCCUCAUACCUUCAUUCAAUCACUGCUGUAAUCCCUUUCCAACAUGGUGAAUACGGAUGGUAAAUAUGACACGAGUACUGACAGAUCGCAUGAAGGACACUGCAUCUCUGCCUUGGGACCGGGCUGGUCGCUACCAGGCGGCCGGAGAUGGUUUCAGAACGCGCCUCGCCUAGUGCAGCAAAGCAAUCUCCCCCCGUCGUCAGUGUUCUGCUGCUUUCAUCAAUACACACACACACACACACACCAGAGCCACAGCUGGCUAUGAAUUACAACACCCUGUGUAUGAGGCCUCCGCUAUACACCGCACAGUGCCGGACUGCACCUCCACCCCGUCACCUCUCUUUCUCUCUCUGCCUUUCCAUCUCCAUUCUCUCCUACCUUUCUCUUUCCCUUUCUCUCUCGCACCUUUUCCCUGUCCACCCUCUCUCAUUACCCCCUCCCAUCUUUGUCCUCAUCCCUCUCCCCCCUCCUCUGGCUCGUUCGCUACAUCUCACACACACUUCAGUCACCUAGCUCCCUUUGUUGCCUCUGAGGCUCAAGAGCCACUAUUUUAUAUAAUCCCCGAAGACUAUCUGCAAAUACUAACACACACACACACACACACACACACACACACACACACACACACACACACAGUCAUCUCACUAUCAAAGCAUGGUGCUAUCAAAGGCCAGACCCACAUCAUCGUAGGAGCCUCCUCUCAGAUCGGACUCUGUUUGAUUUGAUUUAACACACAGCGGAUUAUGAGGAUCAUUUAUGACCAUCCUCUGUCCUUUCUUCAGUCUCAGUAGCAUGUCUUAUGAAUCCACUGUCGGAGGCCCUUUAAGCACUGCAUGUCUUACAAUUACCGUACCACGGACGUUCCUUUUGGGUUUUUUAAGUGGAACUGGCGUGAACACACACACACACACACACAUUCACUAACACACAUAUUCACAAACACACAUCUCCAGUACGUUCGGCGUGUCAGCAUAGCAUGGUGUUUGCUUGGUAAUAGAGCGGGGGAAAUCCCCCAGACUCCUCUCUGAUUCUCUCUCCCAGACGUCUCGCCAGACACCAGCAGCUAAUUAGCAGGAUGACGAUUUGCUAAUUGUGUUCAUUUACAAGGUUUUAGCCGAGGGGAGUCUUGCCGGGGCUGGCACGCAUGUCACGCUCCUUAUUGUAAUGACUAUAUGAACCUCGACGGACAGAAAGGGCUUGGAAAUACUUCAACCUGGAUCAAAUUGAUCAAUAAACAGCAAUCAGCUAAUAUAA